CAGCAGCCGCGGGAAUACGGAGGGUGCAAGCGUUAAUCGGAAUUACUGGGCGUAAAGCGCACGCAGGCGGUCUGACAAGUCAGAUGUGAAAUCCCCGGGCUUAACCUGGGAACUGCAUUUGAAACUGGCAGGCUAGAGUCUUGUAGAGGGGGGUAGAAUUCCAGGUGUAGCGGUGAAAUGCGUAGAGAUCUGGAGGAAUACCGGUGGCGAAGGCGGCCCCCUGGACAAAGACUGACGCUCAGGUGCGAAAGCGUGGGGAGCAAACAGGAUUAGAGACCCCGGUAGUCCCUGUCUCUUAUAC
rnacentral:rRNA from 1 species